rnacentral:rRNA from 1 species
CCUACGGGCGGCUGCAGUGGGGAAUAUUGGACAAUGGGGGGAACCCUGAUCCAGCCAUGCCGCGUGUGUGAAGAAGGCCCUCGGGUUGUAAAGCACUUUCAGUGAGGAAGAACGCCUGGUGGUUAAUACCCAUCAGGAAAGACAUCACUCACAGAAGAAGCACCGGCUAACUCCGUGCCAGCAGCCGCGGUAAUACGGAGGGUGCGAGCGUUAAUCGGAAUUACUGGGCGUAAAGCGCGCGUAGGUGGCUUGAUAAGCCGGUUGUGAAAGCCCCGGGCUCAACCUGCGAACGGCAUCCGGAACUGUCAAGCUAGAGUGCAGGAGAGGAAGGUAGAAUUCCCGGUGUAGCGGUGAAAUGCGUAGAGAUCGGGAGGAAUACCAGUGGCGAAGGCGGCCUUCUGGAUUGACACUGACACUGAGGUGCGAAAGCGUGGGUAGCAAACAGGAUUAGAUACCCGGGUAGUC